GGAGGGUGCUAACGUUGCUCGGAAUUACUGGGCGUAAAGCGCAUGCAGGCGGUCUGCAAAGUUUCGUGUGAAAGCCCUGGGCUCAACCCAGGAUGUGCACGGAAAACUGGUAGACUAGAGUACUGGAGAAGUGGGCGGAAUUCCCGGUGUAGAGGUGAAAUUCGUAGAUAUCGGGAGGAACACCAGUAGCGAAAGCGGCUCACUUGACAGAUACUGACGCUCAGAUGCGAAAGCGUGGGGGAGCAAACAGGAUUAGAUACCCUGGUAGUCCACGCCGUAAACGAUGGGCACUAGGUGUCGGGGGGCUUGACCCCUUCGGCGCCGAAGCUAACGCAUUAAGUGCCCCCGCCUGGGGAGUACGGUCGCAAGACUA
rnacentral:rRNA from 1 species